rnacentral:tRNA from 1 species
CGCGGGAUGGAGCAAUUGGCAGCUCGCAAGGCUCAUAACCUUGAGGUUGGGGGUUCGAGUCCCCCUCCCGCAA